rnacentral:lncRNA from 1 species
GGAUUAGCUUUGGUUUGGGCCGCUGAAGCUGCUAGAAUUAAAUUGGGCCGAACUGAGAAUGAGCCGGUGUUGAAGGAUACUGUUUUUGGGUCAAUUAUUCAACAAAGGAAGGGGUUGAGCAUUUUAGUGAAAUGUGCGUUUUGGCAUCAACAGUUUUAGUGCAACGCACCAUUUCGAUGUAAUUUGAGCAGCUGUUGAAUGAAGCUCUAAAGAAUAGUUCGAGCAAGGAAGGAUUCCCAAUUCACAAUCCAGGAGGUAGGGUUCGUGAGAGUGCCUCAAGAGAGCAUGAGAGAAAAGGGCUUUACAACCCAAAGGAUGAUGAUCCAGGCAAUUAAUCAAAAUGGAAGCCAGCCCAAGUUGAUCGGUCCGGGGAAGCAGAUUGGAAGCAAGGCCAUGCUGAGCUGGAUUGAUCGAUUGAAGCACAACGGUUGAAGACAAAGGGGUCGUUGUUAAAGUUAGUUGAAGAUGUUUGCGAAGCUUCUAGAGUUUGUUUUCAGUUCUUCCCCCCUUUCCCAUUUUCUUUUCUUUUUCUAUUUUUGUUUUUCCUGUAUAAAGAAGCCUUGUAAUAUAGAAAACACAGGUGGUGGGUGACAGACACCGCUCUAGACUCUAGGUUUUCAUUUCCGUGCCUUAUUUUUUAGAGUUCAAAGCUUUCGUAGAGUAGAUACAUUGUCCUUUGUUGCGGACCUUGCAUUGGGAUCUCACGUGGGUGACAGGCCGUGAGAUUCCCAUUUGUGAUUUUGUGUACAUUUCUGUUCUUCGAUAUUCAAUGCAAUGCUAUUCUUUUAUAUUUUUUGCAUGACUUUAAGUAUCUUGCUCUUUUGAUUUCGUUCCCUCCAAAUUAGUUCUAUGGUUCUUGCAAUUCAGUUUCUUAUUCUUAGCUUUCUUUUGUUGCCUGUUAUUCUGUUUCAAUAUUUUCUUUUCCAUUUGAGAUUUAUUUUCACGCUUUGCAAUAGAAC